UGUUAUGACAUUGGACCUGAAUGUCCGACGUGGAAUGAAUGAUCACAAAGCUGGAGAAGAAACGCGUGUAUAAGGUGACAUUGACCGUGAUCUUUUAAGUCUGAACACCCCAGCAGUUUUUUUUCUGCUUCCACAGCGGAACAGGCGCCAAAACACACACUUUAACCUUCCUCUUGUGUUAGCUUACUGGUAUCAUCUUUUAUGUUAACGGGUCGGUUUUGACCCGUGUAUUAAAUCAGCUAUAAAAUACACAAAAAACAAUAAUUUACCUUCAAAUUUGCUUCUUAUCUCUUUGUUACCUUCUUAGGCUUCCUCAUCUAUGAAAAUAUUGGUUUUAAUACUUCCGGUGUGGGCAUUGUAGGCCUUUUUUUUGUGACUAUACCCCUCGAUUUGAACCGACCCUAACAAUACAGUGGUCAUAAUUUCAACCAGACCAUUUUAAAAAUGAUUUUUUGGGGUUUUAUUUUGUUGAAAUAUAGUGUCCUGACAAAGUCAAAAAGCCUUGAUGCAAUAAACAAAUGUUAUGUGAUUCUUUUUAUGCAUUGAAAUAGUAAAACGGGUCGGUGCCGACGCUGACACAAGAGGAAGGUUAAGCUAACUGUUUUCCAGUGCACAGCUGAAGUGUUUUUGCAGUAAUAAUUAACAGUGUAAACGCGAAUCACACUCGUAUCACAUCGUUUAGAGCACCUGGAUUAGUACCGCACCUCCUGGUUGUUUAAAGACAAGGUAAAAACCAUCCUGGAUAUGCCUUUGGGUGUCUACAUAUAAGGAGGUGACAAUGAAGCCCAUAGGUUCCAUUCACCUGCCCACGUGCCUUAAAGCCAUCGCCAUCCCUGCAAUGGAGCUGAUGUCGCGAUACGGAGGAUGAAGACUUUCAUGAGAUGACCUCUGAGGGGGACACAAACUGUUCAGUGUCCAGAAAUAAGAGAGUCCGACUGGUUGUGGAGGACCUGCGGGGUCUCACUGACAUGUUUUAACCGGACAGGUUGGAACAGAAAAAAAAAAAAUGGAAGGGAGUGAGUGGCAACACAAAUGAGGGGACCUAAUGUGAUGCAGGUGAUGGAACAACGGAGAGGAAAGAAACCGUCAUUCACAAUCCUUUUGGGCAUUCUAAAGAAUGAAGAACAGCUAGCACGAGGUAGCUAACAAUGCAUUUAAUGGGACACAUCUAUUCCACUUAUAAAGCCCUCUACAAAUAACGGCUACAAUGUUCCGUUUACAUCACGUGACAUGCAUAUUGAAAUACAAAUAGACUGUGUAGACAUUGAAAGGGGGAAGGAAAAUAAAUUACAU